GAACCUUACCAAGUCUUGACAUCCCCCUGACCGGUGAGUAAUGUCACCUUUCCUUCGGGACAGGGGAGACAGGUGGUGCAUGGUUGUCGUCAGCUCGUGUCGUGAGAUGUUGGGUUAAGUCCCGCAACGAGCGCAACCCUUAUCCUUAGUAGCCAGCAGGUGAAGCUGGGCACUCUAGGGAGACUGCCAGGGACAACCUGGAGGAAGGUGGGGAUGACGUCAAAUCAUCAUGCCCCUUAUGAUUUGGGCUACACACGUGCUACAAUGGCGUAAACAAAGAGAGGCGAGAGGGCGACCUGGAGCAAAUCUCAAAAAUAACGUCCCAGUUCGGACUGUAGUCUGCAACCCGACUACACGAAGCUGGAAUCGCUAGUAAUCGCGAAUCAGAAUGUCGCGGUGAAUACGUUCCCGGGUCUUGUACACACCG
rnacentral:rRNA from 1 species